ACCAUCCCAUUCGGAUUGCAGGCUGCAACCCGCCUGUAUGAAGUUGGAAUCGCUAGUAAUCGCGGAUCAGCAUGCCGCGGUGAAUACGUUCCCGGGCCUUGUACACACCGCCCGUCACACCAUGAGAGUCGGGAACACCCGAAGUCCGUAGCCUAACCGCAAGGAGGGCGCGGCCGAAGGUGGGUUCGAUAAUUGGGGUGAAGUCGUAACAAGGUAGC
rnacentral:rRNA from 1 species